AUUGAACGCUGGCGGCAUGCUUUACACAUGCAAGUCGAACGGUAGCAUGGGUGCUUGCACCUGAUGGCGAGUGGCGAACGGGUGAGUAAUGUAUCGGAACAUGUCCGGAAGUGGGGGAUAACGUAGCGAAAGUUACGCUAAUACCGCAUAUGCCCUGAGGGGGAAAGGAGGGGAUCGCAAGACCUUUCGCUUUCGGAGUGGCCGAUGUCGGAUUAGCUAGUUGGCGGGGUAAGAGCCCACCAAGGCGACGAUCCGUAGCGGGUCUGAGAGGAUGAUCCGCCACACUGGGACCGAGACACGGCCCAGACUCCUACGGGAGGCAGCAGUGGGGAAUUUUGGACAAUGGGCGCAAGCCUGAUCCAGCCAUGCCGCGUGAGUGAAGAAGGCCUUCGGGUUGUAAAGCUCUUUCGGCUGGGAAGAAAUCGCAUCUCCUAAUACGGGGUGUGGAUGACGGUACCAGCAUAAGAAGCACCGGCUAACUACGUGCCAGCCGCCGCGGUAAUAC
rnacentral:rRNA from 1 species